rnacentral:lncRNA from 1 species
AUGAGAAAAAGCUCUGAUGUUCAUUGCCAUGAGGGAAUUGCCAUAUUGGCUUUUACAGGGAGAGGUUCCGUAUCUUUAGAAAUCCCCCCAGAACUAGAACUGACAGGAACGCAAGGCACAAGAGGCCAGUGGGUGCCAGACACAUCAUGCUAUCAACUCAUUUGGCCUGUGCUCAUGUUGUAUUCCAGAUGCCAGUGUGUGUACAUGUGUGUGUUUGUGCCCUGUGGAGUGAGCAGUGAGGGGCAAACAGCAAGAAAAAAAGGUGUCAUCCCACAUCACUGUCUCCCUCAUUUUUCAGGAAGUUCCCACUGCAGCAGAAACACAGAGAUUUGGAACAUGGACAUUUGUUGACUACUGUAGACAGCAUGGAAAAGUUCAACAUCAUAGAAUCUAAAGACCUGUGUGGACCUGGCCAAGCUGACCAAGUCCAGAGAAAAUGUCCCUUGAAGUAGGUAUAUUUUGGUAAGUAAGUGAUCUCAUAUCAAUCAGAUCUCUUUGUCUAAACUACUCUC